CCGAGUCUUAACUGGGCGUUAAGUUGCAGGGUAUAGACCCGAAACCCGGUGAUCUAGCCAUGGGCAGGUUGAAGGUUGGGUAACACUAACUGGAGGACCGAACCGACUAAUGUUGAAAAAUUAGCGGAUGACUUGUGGCUGGGGGUGAAAGGCCAAUCAAACCGGGAGAUAGCUGGUUCUCCCCGAAAGCUAUUUAGGUAGCGCCUCGUGAAUUCAUCUCCGGGGGUAGAGCACUGUUUCGGCAAGGGGGUCAUCCCGACUUACCAACCCGAUGCAAACUGCGAAUACCGGAGAAUGUUAUCACGGGAGACACACGGCGGGUGCUAACGUCCGUCGUGAAGAGGGAAACAACCCAGACCGCCAGCUAAGGUCCCAAAGUCAUGGUUAAGUGGGAAACGAUGUGGGAAGGCCCAGACAGCCAGGAUGUUGGCUUAGAAGCAGCCAUCAUUUAAAGAAAGCGUAAUAGCUCACUGGUCGAGUCGGCCUGCGCGGAAGAUGUAACGGGGCUAAACCAUG
rnacentral:rRNA from 1 species